GCGGGGGUAGCCAAGCUAGGUCUAAGGCGCGGGACUGAGGCUCCCGUGGGGUAGCCCUUCGUGGGUUCAAAUCCCACCCCCCGCACCA
rnacentral:tRNA from 1 species